AGAAUCAACGCUGGCGGCGUGCCUAACACAUGCAAGUCGAGCGAGAACCUGGCCUUCGGGCCUGGGGAAAGCGGCGAACGGGUGAGUAACACGUGGGUAACCCACCCUUGGUACCGGGAUAGCCCGAGGAAACUCGGAUUAAUACCGGAUGGCCCAACAGCUCUUCGGGGCGGUUGGAAAAGGUAGCUUCGGCCUCCGACCAAGGACGGGCCCGCGGCGGAUUAGCUUGUUGGCGGGGUAAUGGCCCACCAAGGCGAUGAUCGGUAUCCGGCCUGAGAGGGCGCACGGACACACUGGAACUGAAACACGGUCCAGACUCCUACGGGAGGCAGCAGUGGGGAAUUUUGCGCAAUGGGGGAAACCCUGACGCAGCAACGCCGCGUGGAGGAUGAAGUCCCUUGGGACGUAAACUCCUUUCGACCGGGACGAUAAUGACGGUACCGGUGGAAGAAGCCCCGGCUAACUUCGUGCCAGCAGCCGC
rnacentral:rRNA from 1 species